rnacentral:rRNA from 1 species
GAUGAACGCUGGCGGCGUGCCUAAUACAUGCAAGUCGAGCGAACAGACGAGGAUCUUGCUCCUCUGACGUGUGCGGCGGACGGGUGAGUAACACGUGGAUAACCUACCUAUAAGACUGGGAUAACUUGGGGAAACCGGAGCAAAUAGCGGAUAAUAUACUGAACCGCAGGGGUGGAUGGUGAAAGUCGGCGGUUGUGUCUGUUAUAGAUGGAUCUCCGCCGCAUUAGGUAGUUGGGAAGUAAAAGGGUUAUCAAGGCAAGCAUGCCUAAACGACGUGCGGGGGUGGUCGGCCACACUGGAACGGAGACGCCGUCCAGACUCCUACGGGAGGCAGCAGUAGGGAAUCUUCCGCAAUGGGCGAAAGCCUGACGGAGCAACGGCGCGUGAGUGAUGGAAGUCUUCGGAUCGUAAAACUCUGUUAUUAGUGAAGAACCAAUGUGUAAGUAACUAUGCACGUCGUGACGGUACCUAAUCAGAAAGCCACGGCUAACUACGUG